AAUAGAUACCCGGUAGUCCACGCCGUAAACGAUGAGUGCUAAGUGUUAGAGGGUUUCCGCCCUUUAGUGCUGCAGCUAACGCAUUAAGCACUCCGCCUGGGGAGUACGGCCGCAAGGCUGAAACUCAAAGGAAUUGACGGGGGCCCGCACAAGCGGUGGAGCAUGUGGUUUAAUUCGAAGCAACGCGAAGAACCUUACCAGGUCUUGACAUCCUCUGCCAACCCUAGAGAUAGGGCGUUCCCCUUCGGGGGACAGAGUGACAGGUGGUGCAUGGUUGUCGUCAGCUCGUGUCGUGAGAUGUUGGGUUAAGUCCCGCAACGAGCGCAACCCUUGAUCUUAGUUGCCAGCAUUCAGUUGGGCACUCUAAGGUGACUGCCGGUGACAAACCGGAGGAAGGUGGGGAUGACGUCAAAUCAUCAUGCCCCUUAUGACCUGGGCUACACACGUGCUACAAUGGAUGGUACAAAGAGCUGCGAACCCGCGAGGGUAAGCGAAUCUCAUAAAGCCAUUCUCAGUUCGGA
rnacentral:rRNA from 1 species